GAUGAACGCUAGCUACAGGCUUAACACAUGCAAGUCGAGGGACCGGCGCACGGGUGAGUAACGCGUAUCCCACCUACCCAUUACUGUGGGAUAACCUGCCGAAAGGCAGACUAAUACCGCAUAGUAAUGGAUGGGGAUGCGUCUGAUUAGCUUGUUGGCGGGGUAACGGCCCACCAAGGCAACGAUCAGUAGGGGUUCUGAGCGGGUGGUCCCCCACAUGGGAACUGGGACACGGUCCAAACUCCUACGGGAGUCAGCAGUGGGGAAUAUUGCACAAUGGGCGCGAGCCUGAUGCAGGCAUGCCGCGUGUAUGAAGACGGCCUAGGGUUGUAAAGUACUUUCAGUCGGGAGACGUUGCCUACAUAAGAAGCACCGGCUAACUCCGUGCCAGCAGCCGCGGUAAUUC
rnacentral:rRNA from 1 species